rnacentral:rRNA from 1 species
UACGUAGGGUGCGAGCGUUAAUCGGAAUUACUGGGCGUAAAGCGUGCGCAGGCGGUUCGUUAUGUCCGAUGUGAAAGCCCCCGAGCUUAACUUGGGAAUGGCAUUGGAAACUGGCGGGCUGGAGUGCGGCAGAGGGGGGUGGAAUUCCACGUGGUAGCAGUGAAAUGCGUAGAGAUGUGGAGGAACACCGAUGGCGAAGGCAGCCCCCUGGGCCGACACUGACGCUCAGGCACGAAAGCGUGGGGAGC